rnacentral:rRNA from 1 species
GUGUCAGCAGCCGCGGUAAUACGUAGGGUGCAAGCGUUAAUCGGAAUAACUGGGCGUAAAGGGUGCGCAGGCGGGUUUGCAAGACAGAUGUGAAAUCCCCGGGCUCAACCUGGGAACUGCAUUUGUGACUGCAAGUCUAGAGUAUGGCAGAGGGAGGUGGAAUUCCAUGUGUAGCAGUGAAAUGCGUAGAGAUAUGGAGGAACACCGAUGGCGAAGGCAGCCUCCUGGGCCAAUACUGACGCUCAGGCACGAAAGCGUGGGGAGCAAACAGGAUUAGAAACCCCAGUAGUCC